rnacentral:lncRNA from 1 species
CUGGAAUCAGAGUUUGGCAAAAUGAUGUUAAAUAGUCUACAUUUUAAGAUAAAAGAUCAUUUUGAAGAUAAGUAUUUUUCUAACUCAUUUGAUCUAGGUGUUCGAGUUGCCCAAUAUGAGCAAUUUCGGAAGAAAAGUAAGAACGAUCAGCUGCAAUGGAGCCGAUAUAAAAAUCAAAGUAAAGGUAAAGAGAAAUUCUUGAUAGAAGAACAGUCAGCUCAAGAAGAGCUGAGCCAAUUGACUGAAAGUGAAGAAUCGGUUGAUGAAGCCGAAAUAUAUGCGGUUGGUAAAGAGCCACUUUCUUCAAGGAGAAAUACUUGAUAGAAGAACAGUUCGUUCAAAAAAAGCCGAACCAAUCGAGUAAAAGUAAAGACUUGGCUGAUGAAGUCGAGGUAUAUGCGGUUGGAAUAAUAAAGGGCCGUUUUCUUUAAGCCGAUCAAGACUAACGAAACUAAAGCUUGGGUCUCGGCUGUGUCAUUGAGCAAUCGAUUUGGCACCAAUAGUCAUCCGAAUGUUCAUUCGAAAGACUAUUAGGAGGGCAUUGUUGAUGCCAAAAAAUUAACAUGCCGAUCUAACCCACGUAUGAGCCAAAGAAAUAAGGACACGUGGUACACCAGGAGUCGGCAAUAAGGCGUUUGAAGGUUGAGAGCAUUUAGGCGGGAACGGUUGAGAAGUGGGGCGUAACUACCAUGAGAAGUGGACAUAACUUUCACAAUCAUGGUUACAACCACUUCCCCCCACUACUUUCAACCAACCAAUAAUGUGGGUUGAUAUUACUAUAAAUAGUAAUUUUGAAGCCUACAAUAAGGGUCUUUCUCUCCCCUAAACGAGAAGACUGCCGCAUUUUCAUAUCUUUCCUUUCCUGCAUUUACUGCUUUUCUAGGAGUAGUUUUUAAGAUAGAUCUCUAGAGUCUGUAUGCCCCACGGGCACACUCUGUUGUAAACUAUAUUUUCAGAGUCUGUAUGCCCCUCGGAUACACUCUGUUUUAUUAAUAUAUAAAAGUAUUCUGCUCUUUCAGCCGACCACACUUUGUGUUUUCAUCCAUGCGGCUCUUUCAGCCGAUUCUAGUUUAUGUGCAUUCUAUACAUUCGGUUCAUCCAGCCGAACCGAUUCUACAGUAGAGGUUUCGAACCCGGCUGAUUCGAUCCCUCAUCCGCCGAAUCAUUGGAUCAAUCGAAGGGCACAAACUUCGAGGGUCACUAUUCGAAACCGUUUUUCAUCCCGACGCGCUCCUCGAGGAGGAUCUUUGAC